UGAUGAUCAAUUCUGAUGGGCGUGACUCUCUUCAACAACAAGAUCAGAAAACUGGGCAGAGAUAAAACAAGUUGCCAUAAAUUACACAUCCAUAAUUGAAACAGAGAACGUAGUUUACCAAAAGCAGAGGCUGACUGGCUCUCUUACCUCACACUGCCAUGCUGGAUCGUGCCGGGGAUAUCCAAAUUCUUCCCAGGCAGUUGCUGGACAGAACCUGCUGAAGGCUGGAGUGACGUGCCAGGAUCUCCCUUUGAUGGUAGUUUCAGGUCCCAGGACUCAGGAAUGGGGCUUAACCUCUACUCCAUCCCCCUUCCCACAAGCUGGCAAAGUUGUGUGGGAUCCCCAUAACUGCUUCCCCUAUUUCUACAGGUGAGGCAGAAUUUGAGUUUUAAUCUGAUCUGAGAUGAACAAACAGAGGGACUUGGGCUAUAUUGAUCUUGUUAAUAAACCCCACAACUGAGAUACACUCAGGACCAUUCUGAGGAGUGGAGAGGGUCCCUUAAUACCUUCUGGGGUGCUUUCCCAAAAGAGCAGAAAGGAACUCUGGACAAGAUAAGGGAGAAGGAAAGCAGGAAGAUUUCAGAAAGGCCUGGAGAGGCU